rnacentral:rRNA from 1 species
UGGGGAAUAUUGCACAAUGGGCGCAAGCCUGAUGCAGCCAUGCCGCGUGUAUGAAGAAGGCCUUCGGGUUGUAAAGUACUUUCAGCGGGGAGGAAGGGAGUAAAGUUAAUACCUUUGCUCAUUGACGUUACCCGCAGAAGAAGCACCGGCUAACUCCGUUCCAGCAGCCGCGGUAAUACGGAGGGUGCAAGCGUUAAUCGGAAUUACUGGGCGUAAAGCGCACGCAGGCGGUCUGUCAAGUCGGAUGUGAAAUCCCCGGGCUCAACCUGGGAACUUCAUUCGAAACUGGCAGGCUAGAGUCUUGUGGAGGGGGGUAGAAUUCCAGGUGUAGCGGUGAAAUGCGUAGAGAUCUGGAGGAAUACCGGUGGCGAAGGCGGCCCCCUGGACAAAGACUGACGCUCAGGUGCGAAAGCGUGGGGAGCAAACAGG